rnacentral:lncRNA from 1 species
AAACCGGUGAACCGGAAAUUAUGAAAACCGGCGGGUUAACUGCAUUAUUUUUUGCGUAAAAAAAAACUGCAUUUUUUUUUUCAUCUGGAAAAAAACGUCAUUUUGUUUUUUUAUAAAUAAAUUUAAAUACAGCAGAAAAUAUAAACGUGAACCGAGAUUGAGAUUUGAGAAGCAAAGGAGUGGUAGAUCCAUAUGGAGUUGAGGGCUAAACUUUGAAAACUUGUGUAUACUAUCCUGUUUUUUUGUUUGUUUUNNN